GACGUGGGAAGCGGUGUCCGAAUGGAGGAGGAAGAGCUGAUCCGGAGUCUGGAUUAUCUUGAGAAACGGCUCAAAAGUUUCUCCGGGAACAGAAACCACACAUUGACCACUUUUAUGAUGUCUGACAUUUAUGUAAAACAAUCACCAAGAAGGUGGGGGCCGUAUCCAAGGAGAAGGACUGCAAUAAGGUGAAAUUGUGACAGAAGAGCAUAAAAAAAUCACCUUUACUGGUCAGCAUGCGGUUCAUUCAGUGGAGAGGAAACAGUGGCAAAGUGGACAUCUCUUGUGAACCACAUCCAGAAUGUGCAUUUUCAUCAAAAUCCACUAUUCCCCAAGUGCCUUCACCCCUGUUUCACAGACAAAAAGAAAUGGCUGAAGCCUGCAACAAAGGCCACCUACAAGCUGGAGAAGGCACUGAUGAACAAGCGUGUUCUUGGCGAUGUGUAAAAGCUGAGCCCUCUCUACCAAACAUCAGACUUGGAGGGGUUCCACAGGGUCAUUCUGCGUUCUGCACGCAAACAUGUGGCCUUCUCAUACUCAGGGAUGCUCUGCAGGCUGUUCCUGGCUGCAUUGCAUUUUAAUGAGAAUUCUGAGAGCUGCGUUUUCAAAUGAAAUUUCCAAAGGCCAAGAGAGAUG